rnacentral:rRNA from 1 species
AUUGAACGCUGGCGGCAUGCCUUACACAUGCAAGUCGAACGGCAGCACGGGUGCUUGCACCUGGUGGCGAGUGGCGAACGGGUGAGUAAUACAUCGGAACGUACCUUAUCGUGGGGGAUAACGCAGCGAAAGCUGUGCUAAUACCGCAUACGCCCUGAGGGGGAAAGCGGGGGAUCGCAAGACCUCGCGCGAUUAGAGCGGCCGAUGCCGGGUUAGCUUGUUGGUGGGGUAAAAGCCCACCAAGGCGACGAUCAGUAGCUGGGCUGAGAGGACGAUCAGCCACACUGGGGCGGGGACACGGCCCAGACUCCUGCGGGAGGCAGCAGUGGGGAAUUUUGGACAAUGGGGGCAACCCUGAUCCAGCACUGCCGCGUGAGUGAAGAAGGCCUUCGGGUUGUAAAGCUCUUUUGUCAGGGAAGAAACACCGGCUCUAACACAGUCCGGGAAUGACGGUACCUGAAGAAUAAGCACCGGCUAACUACGUGCCAGCCGCCGCGGUAA